CUCUUUCGUCGGGGAAGAAAAUGACUGUACCCGAAUAAGAAGGUCCGGCUAACUUCGUGCCAGCAGCCGCGGUAAUACGAAGGGACCUAGCGUAGUUCGGAAUUACUGGGCUUAAAGAGUUCGUAGGUGGUUGAAAAAGUUGGUGGUGAAAUCCCAGAGCUUAACUCUGGAACUGCCAUCAAAACUUUUCAGCUAGAGUAUGAUAGAGGAAAGCAGAAUUUCUAGUGUAGAGGUGAAAUUCGUAGAUAUUAGAAAGAAUACCAAUUGCGAAGGCAGCUUUCUGGAUCAUUACUGACACUGAGGAACGAAAGCAUGGGUAGCGAAGAGGAUUAGAUACCCUCGUAGUCCAUGCCGUAAACGAUGUGUGUUAGACGUUGGAAAUUUAUUUUCAGUGUCGCAGGGAAACCGAUAAACACACCGCCUGGGGAGUACGACCGCAAGUUAAACCUCAAAUGAAUUGACGGGGACCCGCACAAGUAGUGGAGCAUGUGGUUUAAUUCGAAGAUACGCGCAGAACCUUACCAACACUUGACAUGUUCGUCGCGACUCUAAGAGAUUAGAGUUUUCGGUUCGGCCGGACGAAACACAGGUGCUGCAUGGCUGUCGUCAGCUCGUGUCGUAAGAUGUUGGGUUAAGUCCCGCAACGAGCGCAACCCUCACUUUUAGUUGCCAUCAUUAAGUUGGGCACUCUGAAAGAACUGCCACUNAUAAGCUGGAGGAAGGUGGGGAUGACGUCAAGUCCUCAUGGCCCUUACGUGUUGGGCUACACACGUGCUACAAUGGCGUCUACAACAGGAAGCAAAACGGCAACGUUAAGCAAAUCCCGAAAAGAUGCCUCAGUUCGGAUUGCACUCUGCAACUCGAGUGCAUGAAGCUGGAAUUACUAGUAAUCGUGGAUCACCGUGCCACGGUGAAUGCGUUCCCGGGUCUUGUACACACCGCCCGUCACACCAUGGCAGUUGGUUCUACCUUAAGGCAAGGUUUUAAACCCUUGACCACGGUAUAGUCAGCGACUGGGGUGAAGUCGUAACAAGGUAACC
rnacentral:rRNA from 1 species